GACGAACGCUGGCGGCGUGCUUAACACAUGCAAGUCGAACGAAGAGCGAUGGAAGCUUGCUUCUAUCAAUCUUAGUGGCGAACGGGUGAGUAACGCGUAAUCAACCUGCCCUUCAGAGGGGGACAACAGUUGGAAACGACUGCUAAUACCGCAUACGAUCUAAUCUCGGCAUCGAGGAUAGAUGAAAGGUGGCCUCUACAUGUAAGCUAUCACUGAAGGAGGGGAUUGCGUCUGAUUAGCUAGUUGGAGGGGUAACGGCCCACCAAGGCGAUGAUCAGUAGCCGGUCUGAGAGGAUGAGCGGCCACAUUGGGACUGAGACACGGCCCAGACUCCUACGGGAGGCAGCAGUGGGGAAUCUUCCGCAAUGGACGAAAGUCUGACGGAGCAACGCCGCGUGAGUGAUGACGGCCUUCGGGUUGUAAAGCUCUGUUAAGCGGGACGAAAGGCCUUCUUGCGAACAGUUAGAAAGAUUGACGGUACCGGAAUAGAAAGCCACGGCUAACUACGUG
rnacentral:rRNA from 1 species